rnacentral:rRNA from 1 species
UUAUCUCUGUAGAGUCUGCAUAUCAAUAAGCGGAGGAAAAGAAACUAACUAGGAUUCCCUUAGUAACGGCGAGUGAAGCGGGAAGAGCUCAAAUUUGAAAUCUUCAAGGUUUUACCUUGACGAAUUGUAGUUUAAAGAAGUGUUUUCUGUUGGAGUUUUCGGUAAAAGUUCUUUGGAAUAGGACAUCAUAGAGGGUGAGAAUCCCGUAUUUGACCAUUAUUUCCAGCUUUGUGAUACACUUUCAAAGAGUCGGAUUGUUUGGGAAUGCAGUCCAAAAUGGGUGGUAAAUUUCAUCUAAAGCUAAAUACUGGCGAGAGACCGAUAGCGAACAAGUACCGUGAGGGAAAGAUGAAAAGAACUUUGAAAAGAGAGUUAAACAGUACGUGAAAUUGUCAAAAGGGAAGCGUUUGACACCAGUGUUGUUUUCUCGAAAAAUCAAUUAAGAAAGGCAUGAUUUUGUGUUGUAUUGACCUUUAUCAGCUUUCUUCACUCUUUUUCGUAGUCUUUCUUAAUGCACUUUUCGGUUAACAAGUCAACAUCAAUUUCUUUUGUUGUAAAAGGAGUCAUUCGGAAGGUGGCUUUCUUUUCGGAGAAAGUGUUUAUAGCCCUUAUGCCUCUACAAUCGGAGAGAUUGAGGUCUGCAGCGUAGAUCCUUCGGGGUUAGAUACAUUUGUGCUAAGUUAUAGCCUUUCAUAGACAACUUGUUGACUAUGAUCAGUCAUGUAGCUUACUCGCUUAUGCUAUUUUACCUACGCUUAGGAUGUUGAAGAUGUAGCACAUCAU